GUCCCCAAAAUGAGGGGGGGUCCCCAAGGCCUAAAGGGUCCCCAAAAUGGAGAAGGUCCCCAAAAUGGGAGGGGUCACCAAGGUGGGGACGGUCUCCAAAAUGGGGGGUCCCAUUGGGGUCCCAUGGGUGGGAAGUCCCCAAACUGGGGGUCCCCUAAGUGGAGAAGGUCCCCAAAAUGGAGGGUCCCAUGAGGGGGCCCCCAAAUUGAGGACGGUUCCCAAAAUGGGGGUCCCAUGGGUGAUGUCCCCAAACUGGGGGGGUUCCCCAAAUUUGGGGAGGGGGUUCCAUGGAGGGUCCCCAAAAUGAGGGUCCCCAAAAUGGGGGUACCGUGGGUAGGAGAUCCCCGAAAUGGGGUCACCAAGGUGGAGAACGUCCCCAAAAUGGAGGGGUCACCGAGGUGGGGACGGUCUCCAAAAUGGGGGAUCCCAGAGGGGGUCCCAUGGGUGAGGUCACCAAAAUGGGGGGGUCACCAAGGUGGAGAAGGUCCCCAGAAUGGGGGGGGGUCCCAUGAAGGGGUUUCCCAAAACGGGGGUGUCCCAAAAUGGCCCCCCAAGUCCUGGGGGGUCCCCAAGGUGGAGAAAGUCCCCAAAAUGGGAGAUUCCAUUGAAGGUCCCCAAAAUGGGGGAGUCCAUUGAAGAUCCCCAAAUUGGGAGAUCCCAUUGAAGGUCCCCAAAAUGGGGGGGUCACCAAGGUGGGGAUGGUCCCCAAAAUGGGGGGGGGUCCCCAAAAUUGGGGUCACCAAGGUGGGGAUGGUCCCCAAAAUGAAGGGUCCCAUGAAGGGGGUCCCCAAAAAGGAGAAGGUCCCCAAAAUGGGGAUGGUCCCAAAAAUGGGGGUCCCAUGGGUGACGUCCCCAAACUGGGGGGGUCCCCAAAGUGGGGGGGGGGUCCCCAAAUUAGGGUGGGGGUCCCCAAAUUAGGGUAUGGGGGGUUCCCCAAACUGGGGGUGGUGGGGCCAACCCAGCGCUACCUCCCAGCUCUGCUCACUGCCAGGGGACCCCCCAAUUUUCCUCCUCGGCUUAAUUAAGUUUUAAUUAAUUCUUAAUUAAUUCCUGGGGCUCACUCAUUAAUUUUUAAAUCAUUUUUUUCCCUUCCUCCUUUGAUUCCUGGCGGGUUUUUUUGGGGUUUAUUUUUUUUUUUUAAAGCCUCGAGGUUUUUAUUUAUUAUUAUUAAUUAAAUAAAAAAAAUUAAAAUUAAUGGAUAAAAAAAUAU
rnacentral:lncRNA from 1 species